UUCCCACCGCGGAGUGAUCCGGCAAAGACAGGAUUGUGUGGAGAGUCGGAAAAUAGCCAGUCAGCAGGAUUUGCUGUCUGUCAGCCUCAGGAACUGUAUCCGGGAAAACAAUAUCCCCGCAAGCAAUCAGGAAUGGACAUACACCCAAGAACAGCAGAUCAGUCAGAACCAGCACUGUCUGUCUGUGGCCAGUUUGUUCCCAGGAGCCCGGGUUAUUUUGGUGCCCUGUCGAGACAGAGAUGGGAAACAGCUCUGGCAGAGGGUUGGCUCCCGUAUCGAGCACCAGGUAUCUCGUUACUGUUUGGACAGUGACCUAUCGGGCAGCGAUGAGGUCUACAGCACAAAAAUCCUGGUGAUCAACCCGUGUGAGACAACGAUUCUCAGCCAAAGAUAAAUGGCGAUGAUGUGGAGGUGCUGGUCUUGGACUGGGGUGGAUAAAGUCAGAUAUCACACAACACCAGGUUAUAGUCCCAGCUUUUGGAGCACUAUUCCUUCAUCAGCCCCAAUGAGGGAACUCAUAUUCUGUGAGGUCCACAUGGCUGAUCUUGUUACAAUGAGUGCAAAACCCAUUAUGUGAACAAUAAUAAACUUGCAGAUUGAUGGCCUGCACUACCCUAAAGGGCUUUGCAUAUAAAUUAAUCAACUGGACAAUAUGGGCGAUUUACUUGUGGUAUUUAUUAGAUGAAAAAUUACCUCAGGUCAUAUGGAAAACAAGAUGCUCAGUUGUGUGUAAGAGCACUUCUAGAUAUAAAAGAGAAAAAUAAACUCGCAGAUUGGGCACUUACUGCGCAGUGGUAGUGUCCCUGUGUCUGGACCAGGAGGCCCAGGUUCAAGUCCCACUUGCUCCAGAGGUGUAUUGUAACAACCAUGAACACUGAGUAGAAACAUAUCCAAAUUUGUAGAUUGGCAAGUCAUUGGGAAUUGAAGCUUAACAAAGAUCAGUGGUAUUGGGAAAUUGUGAGUUUUGGAGUGGAAGGGAUCUUGCAAUAUUGAAACACCCAAUUACCAGAAGCUAUACCUCAUGUUAGCAAGGUCAUUAAAAAGCAAACUAAACACUCGCUUUAUUUCUGGAGGAAUAUAAUUGAAAGGUAGGGCAGGGAUGCUAAACCUGUAUGGAACCUGUAGACUUGGUGGAGUUCUGAUCACCAUCAAUAGAUUCACUGGAGGCAGUACUGAGAAGAUUGACAAGGAAGACACCAGAAGUAUGUGUGUUUACAUAGUAAGAAAGUAUUGCCUUGAAUAAAGAAGGAUGUGGGGAGUUGGGGUCAUCUGGUAAAGGUUUAAGAAAGUGAUGGUUUUGAUGGAGCAAUGCAGGGAGUGUCUUCAUCCUGGGGGUAAAGCUGACAGCAGAGAGUUCAGGUGGAGGUGUGAGACAGAGAUGGAGCAGAAUGCGAGAGCCACACAACAUUCCCCGUUCAUCACGCUCAGUGCCUAUGGGCGGUAUUUCCAUUCGCACAUUCCCACACCGGGAUACACCUGCUGGGGAGAUCUGUCAGCAAUAAUCACUCAGGAUGCAUUCCCUCAAAAUCGGGUAUAACAGCUAUACUUCCACUCAGAGAUCCAGGGUUCACUGUCCCAGCUAAGACGGGCCCACAUUUAUUCUUUAUGUAGGGGACCAAAGGAAAUCAUCCUAUUGAUCCAAUCCCAGCACAUCAUCUGCAGUGCUCCCGACCCAAAAUUCAUCCUGUUAUUCAAGAGCUUCCUCCUGACUGUUUACCACACCACCAAUUUUUGUGCUAUUUGUGAAAUUAUUGAUCAUUCCUCGUACAAUCAUGUCUAGAUCAUUAAUGUACAUAACAAAGACCUAGCUGUGAACCCUGUGGUACAUCGCAGGACACAAACUUUCUGACACACACACACCCUUCAACCAUUAUCCUCUACUUCCUGCCACUGAGCCAAGUUUGCAGCGAAUUUUGCAAAUUAGUCUACCAUGUGAGACCUUAUCAAAAGCCUUACUUAUGUCCAUGUAGACGACAUCAACUGCACUGCCCUCAUCUACACACCAAGUCACCUCCUCGAAAAAUUCCGUCAAUUUUAUAAGCCACAAUCUCCCCCGGCCAAGCUUCGCUGUCUAUCCUUAAAUAAUCCUUGCCUUUCCAAAUGGAGAUGAACUCGGUCCCUCCGAAUUUUUUCCAGUAGUUUUCUGAUCAUUGAUGUGAGACUGACUGGCCUUUGGUUUCCAGGUUUAACCCUACCACCCUCCUUGAAUAAUAGUACCACAAUAGCUGACCUCUAAUCUCUUGGCACUCAUCCUGUGGCAACAGAGGUUUUGAAAAUUAAUGAGCCCUGCAAUCUCAUCUCCUGCCUCCCACAGCAACCUUGGAUGCAUCUUAUCUGAGCGUGGAAAUUUAUCUACUUUCAAGCCUGCUAAAACCAUUAAUACUUCCUCCGUUUCGAUGCUAACGUGUUCAAAUAUGUCACAGUCCUCCUCUCUGGAUGCUAGCCCUGCAUCGUCCUAUUCUAUGAUAAAUAAGGAUGCAACGUACUCAUGUUAAAACCUCAGAUGUCUUCCAGCUCCCCACACAUACCCUUUAGUUCUUAGUGAGUCCCACUCUUUUCCUGUUUAUUCUUUUGCGCCUAAUAUAUUUGGGGUUAAUCCAAAGGCAUUUUCUUUUACCUGCCAGUGUUUUUUUUAAUGUCCCCGCUUUGUUUUCUUAAUUUCCUUUUUAAAUAACCCCCCUGUACUUUUGAAAUGCUUCCAAGAUUUUCACUGUUUUGAGCCUCUGGUCAUCUACCAUAUCCAGGGUUCUCUGCACUUGUUGGUUCCCAUCCUUCAGUCCAGCAGCUAUGUCCUUCAGGACCAGACCAGCUCGGUCAGUAGUGUCAAACCACUCUUGGUGGUGGACGUUGAAAUCCCCCACCCAGAGUAUAU